AAAUCGGUAGCUUAGCGGUCAAAACUUAGUGUGGCGUAAACCUGAAGACCUGGGUUCGAAUCCCAGUCGAGUUC